rnacentral:rRNA from 1 species
CCGGAAGACCAAGGGUUCCUGUCCAACGUUAAUCGGGGCAGGGUGAGUCGACCCCUAAGGCGAGGCCGAAAGGCGUAGUCGAUGGGAAACAGGUUAAUAUUCCUGUACUUGGUGUUACUGCGAAGGGGGGACGGAGAAGGCUAUGUUGGCCGGGCGACGGUUGUCCCGGUUUAAGCGUGUAGGCUGGUUUUCCAGGCAAAUCCGGAAAACUAAGGCUGAGGCGUGAUGACGAGGCACUACGGUGCUGAAGCAACAAAUGCCCUGCUUCCAGGAAAAGCCUCUAAGCAUCAGGUAACAUCAAAUCGUACCCCAAACCGACACAGGUGGUCAGGUAGAGAAUACCAAGGCGCUUGAGAGAACUCGGGUGAAGGAACUAGGCAAAAUGGUGCCGUAACUUCGGGAGAAGGCACGCUGAUAUGUAGGUGAAGUCCCUCGCGGAUGGAGCUGAAAUCAGUCGAAGAUACCAGCUGGCUGCAACUGUUUAUUAAAAACACAGCACUGUGCAAACACGAAAGUGGACGUAUACGGUGUGACGCCUGCCCGGUGCCGGAAGGUUAAUUGAUGGGGUCAGCGCAAGCGAAGCUCUUGAUCGAAGCCCCGGUAAACGGCGGCCGUAACUAUAACGGUCCUAAGGUAGCGAAAUUCCUUGUCGGGUAAGUUCCGACCUGCACGAAUGGCGUAAUGAUGGCCAGGCUGUCUCCACCCGAGACUCAGUGAAAUUGAACUCGCUGUGAAGAUGCAGUGUACCCGCGGCAAGACGGAAAGACCCCGUGAACCUUUACUAUAGCUUGACACUGAACAUUGAGCCUUGAUGUGUAGGAUAGGUGGGAGGCUUUGAAGUGUGGACGCCAGUCUGCAUGGAGCCGACCUUGAAAUACCACCCUUUAAUGUUUGAUGUUCUAACGUUGACCCGUAAUCCGGGUUGCGGACAGUGUCUGGUGGGUAGUUUGACUGGGGCGGUCUCCUCCUAAAGAGUAACGGAGGAGCACGAAGGUUGGCUAAUCCUGGUCGGACAUCAGGAGGUUAGUGCAAUGGCAUAAGCCAGCUUGACUGCGAGCGUGACGGCGCGAGCAGGUGCGAAAGCAGGUCAUAGUGAUCCGGUGGUUCUGAAUGGAAGGGCCAUCGCUCAACGGAUAAAAGGUACUCCGGGGAUAACAGGCUGAUACCGCCCAAGAGUUCAUAUCGACGGCGGUGUUUGGCACCUCGAUGUCGGCUCAUCACAUCCUGGGGCUGAAGUAGGUCCCAAGGGUAUGGCUGUUCGCCAUUUAAAGUGGUACGCGAGCUGGGUUUAGAACGUCGUGAGACAGUUCGGUCCCUAUCUGCCGUGGGCGCUGGAGAACUGAGGGGGGCUGCUCCUAGUACGAGAGGACCGGAGUGGACGCAUCACUGGUGUUCGGGUUGUCAUGCCAAUGGCACUGCCCGGUAGCUAAAUGCGGAAGAGAUAAGUGCUGAAAGCAUCUAAGCACGAAACUUGCCCCGAGAUGAGUUCUCCCUGACUCCUUGAGAGUCCUGAAGGAACGUUGAAGACGACGACGUUGAUAGGCCGGAUGUGUAAGCGCAGCGAUGCGUUGAGCUAACCGGUACUAAUGAACCGUGAGGCUUAACCUU